UCGAGUGGGCGGGGCUCCCGGCGCGCAGUGACGGAAGCCGGCCGGGGUCCGGAAGCGGGGUUCCGGCGGGGCGCUGUUCCCGUCUCUAGGGGGCCGAGAGAGAAGCGCUGCGCCGGAAGUGGUAGCGUGGCCGAGCGGUCUAAGGCGCUGGAUUAAGGCUCCAGUCUCUUCGGGGGCGUGGGUUCGAAUCCCACCGCUGCCAAGGCUUUUUUCCUUUGCGCCCAGGACGGCCGCGUGCUCGGGUCAGUUGUCCGGCUGGGACCGCUGUUUGCGCAGAGGCCGGAGGGCCGCCCUGCAACGUUCAGCUUCAAGGACAGGCCAGUGCGGGGCCGGGAAGUGCUGGCCCAGAAGUGCUUUCGUGCACGAGGUCCUGCACGUCGGGGGCGGCCGUCCUCUCCGCGCUCGGACCGAGCCGCCCGCGCCCGCGACGUCGCUCAUCUUCCUGCAGCCGCCGCCUCACUUGCAGAUGGGAAAGCGCCGGUGCUGGGCCAUGACCGCGGACCGCCCCCAGCGCCGGGUCCCCCCAGCCUCGGUGUCGUCCGGCCUCGGCCCCCACCAGCGUCCGGUGCCCUCCAGCGCCUCCGUCUGUCGCCGGUUCUCUCGCCCUGUCGUGCUUUCUGCUUCCACUCACCUGCUGCCGCGUCCCUGCGACCGUCGUGCGCGGCUCCCUGCCCGAGCAGACUUGUGCACGCGCGGCGUCUCUUUCUCAUCUUCCAGUCCUUAGCGUGAAGCUCGGAGUCCCGUGCGGUUCACGAGCAUUAGAGUCCGGAACUGUCCUUUGUCUGGGCUGUCUUCCAAAGAUAACGCAUAUAAAGAACAGCCUUGGAAGACAGAGAUGGUGUCACGUCUGGUGCGAAGGACUGGGGUUUUGAGCUCCCUGUGCUCAGGCUUCCUGUCCUGGGACACUACCCCGCCAUGUGCAGCAUCUGUCUGGCCCAUCGGAGCCACCCUGUGGGAAUGGGUGCUUUUGAGGCAUCUGCAGGGAGGCUGAUAAUGUGGCUCCUGCUCUUGCCUGAGAAUAAAAUGUCCUUUAUCUCUGAAGGGUGGCGGAGUAUGUCACUCUGGCAUAAGAAUUAUUUCGAGCUAAAGGCACUUAACAAUACAGGUGCAAGAAGGGUGCUCUGACCCUCUCCUUUUUCUUCUGGAAAGCAGGAGGUAAAACCCUUAUGUGGAAGAUGUCCUCCUUAUGUACCAAGAUGAAAGUAAUUUUCUUAACAUCCAGGGUAGGAGGUCAAAGCUGGAAGGAUUCUGUACCGAUCUUGUUAAAAUAAUUCUUCCUUUAGUCUCCUCAUCCGUUUUACUGGUCCGCCAUUGCCUCUCUUUUGUUCAACCUCAUGUAAAAGCAGUUCCGUUUUGCCACUUUUCUGGAUACUCGUUUCCUUCUGAGGGUUCACUUGUCAUGUAAAACUUUCAGGAAGUAAGUUUGUAUGGUUUUCUCUUGCCCGUGACCCAUGUCAGGCCCCGAUGAAAAUCCUGAGGUAAGGUACGUUUUUGCCUUCCAUCUCUGACCCAGCAGUCUCUCGUGUUCCACGAGCCACCUUGAAACUGACAGGCUAAUUAGUUACCUUAUAAACACAGUGAAAUAUCAGAAUAUUCAGUUCUUGACAGACAUAUGCUGUCAACAGGCAGAGAAAAGGAGAGGUGUUUAAAUUGUUACGAGUUACGUGUAAGUAAGUUACAACUGAAAUUUAGGAAUUACACCACUGGGAAGGGAGGCAGCAUAGGAGACUGCAUAAAGCCAAAAAACCAUACUCCUAUUGUUAUUUCCUCUUUGGCUCUUUUAGUCACUUGUCCUUGCUUUCUUUCCCCUUUGAAAUUUGAGAGUUGCCCUCUGGUGCUCAUCAUCCCCCAACUGAUUUCCAUCUUCUGUCCUCCUGGUAUGAUGCAUUUUUUUCAUGCUGAGACAUGUCUGAAAUUAUGUUGAUAUGGAUGAACUACCUGAUAUUUUCCAUUUUGUAAAAUUUGAGCACAUUGGAUUUACUGGUUGCCUUAUCUUGUCACUUGAUUAGUUUCCUGUCAGUCUUGAUAUGAUUCCCUAAUUCUUCAAAAUAACAGUGAAACUCCUAAAUGCUCUUUUCUAUCUGGUCAGUGCAUUGGAUGUUAUUCUUCCCUGGAGAUCUUCCGCCCAGACUGCUUCUCCAUCAUGUUCGUCCGGAUCCACUGCACAGAACUGGGGGUUUGCCUUUGAUGCCUCCUUCCUUUUGCUGUAAAGUCUGCUUCUUGAGUCCCAUCUCUCUUUUUUUAAAUUCUUGAUUUCACUGAUUUGCUUGAGUGGAGUUUAUGAUAAGAUAAAACAUGUGAGAUAAAAUUUUUGAGACCUUUCUUGUCUUUAAAAUAUCUUUAUUUUACCUAGUAAUUGAUUAAUCAUUUGAUUAUAGAAAUCUAAGUUAAAAUUGUUUCCCUUAGGAUUUUUUUUUAAAGAUUUUAUUUAUUUGACAGAUCACAAGUAGGCAGAGAGGCAGGCAGAGAGAGGGGGAAGGAGACUCCCUGCUGAGCAGAGAGCCUGAUGCAGGGCUCAAUCCCAGGAUCCUGAGAUCAUGACCUGAGCUGAAGGAAGAGGCUUAACCCACUGAGCCACCCAGACGCCCCUCCCUUCGGAUUUUGAAGGCAUUACUCUGCUGUCUGUCAUCUUCAAGUGCUCUUCUUGAUUAUUCCAAUGGUAAUUUAUUUUCUUGUCCUUUAUCUUUGACUUUUCUUUUUCCUGCCUGAAAACUCUGACAUCUUUCUUUUAUCCACAGUAUCUUAUGCAGAUGUUUUACCAUUCAUUGAACCAUGUGCUUGGCAGGCCUUUCCCUGUAGGAACGGAUUUUCUUACACGAUUAGAUAAUUUCCUGUGUCUUUUGUUCAUUUCAUUCUUUUGGAACUUCUGCUAAAUGGAACUCCUUCUCUAGAUUUUUUUUGUACCCCUUUUAUUUUAUACUUUUGAGAAGAUAUGCAAGUGUAAACAUUUUGAAGCACAAUAUCAAAAUGAGCACUUUUGAACAGAUCACUCAACAUGUAGAGCUGCACUGUCCAGUAUGGUACCCACGAGCUCCAGGUGGUGAGUUAGCACUUUAAACGUGGCUCACGUGACCGAGGAAGUAAAUUUUUAAUUCUAUUUAAAAUUUACAUUUAAAAAGAGCAUUCUGCAUUCUGUUACUGCAAAACUUCCUUAUUUAUUUUUUUGGUAACAUAUAAUGUAUGAUUUGUUUCAGGGGUACAGGUCCGUGAAUCAUCAGUCUUACACAAUUCACAGGGCUCCCCAUAGCACACACCGUCCCCAGCGUCCGUCCCCAGCCACUCCAGCCCUCCCUCCAGCCCCCAGCAGCCUAUCAGAAAACUUCUUAGUAUGUUUGGGACAACUUGAUUUGUGAAUUUAUUUUUUCAACUGUAAAUUUUAUGAAAUCCAAGUACAGACCUAAGUAUAGUACUUCUAAUGAAAAUGUAGCUGUAAAUGUAGAAUACAGCAAAAAAUACUUCAUUAAUAUGUUUUUGACUGUAUAUUGAAAUGAUAGUUCAAACAUAGUGGGCCACUUUGAAAUACACUACUAAAGUUAAUUUCUUUUCAUUCUUUUAAUGAGUACCUUUUAAAUUAUGUUUGUGGCUGGCAUUACGUUUCUUUCUUUUUUUUUUUUUAAAGAUUUUAUUUAUUUGACAGAGAGAGAUCACAAGUAGGCAGAGAGGCAGGCAGAGAGAGAGAGAGAGCCCGAUGCGGGACUCGAUCCCAAGACCCUGAGAUCAUGACCUGAGCCGAUGGCAGCGGCUUAACCCACUGAGCCACCCGGGCGCCCUGGCAUUGUUUCUAUUGGACAGGUCUGGGCUAGAAUAUUACUAAGACAUUUGCAUCAACUUAUGUGCCUCUCUCCUAUCCCAUCACUGUGACUGCUUUUCAAAGGUAGCCCCUAUGCUAAAUUCUGUGUUUACCAUUCCUUUACAUACACAAAUAAUGCACUUAUGAGUAGCUCUCCAGUCAAUGUACGACUUUGUCUUCCUCGCUUCUGAACUUCAUACAGACGGCACCAAGCUGUGGGUUGUCUCCCGGGCCUUGCUUUUCCUAUUCGCACUGUCCACUCUCGACUCACGUUCCUGUGUGGAUAACGCAAGUUGCAAUGAUGGUAUUGAUCAAUUCUGGGAAGAACUUACAUCUUUAUAACACCGAGUCUUCCCCUGCACGGACACAUACAGCCUUGACCAAGAACAGUCAACUUGGUCUUGAAGAAAAAUAAAUAGGACUUAGAGAUUUUAAAGCUGUGGUAAUUAACCAGGUCGGCGCCGUGUGAGGACAGACAUUAGACCAAGGGAACAGAAGGAAAGGCCAAGACUUCGAGACAUGACCCUCAUAAGGCCGUCUUCCACUUGGCCACUGUCUUCUAGAACACCCACUGUGAUCCAGACACCCACCGGGGAGACUGCCAGCGGGCUCUCGGGUCUGCAGCGAGAACCCCAGAUGCCUAGCUUCAGCUCCGGGAAUCUUCAGCCGUUUUCUGAACAUUUUUUUUUUUUAAAAGAUUUUAUUUAUUUGACAGAGAGAGAUCACAAGUAGGCAGAGAGGCAGGCAGAGAGAGAGAGGAGGAAGCAGGCUCUCUGCUCAGCAGAUGUGGGACUCGAUCCCAGGACUCUGAGCCGAAGGCAGCGGCUUAACCCACUGAGCCACCCAGGCGCCCCCGUUUUCUGAACAUUUAAAAAUAAACAGCGAGAAAGCAUUAAAGAAAUUUCAGGUAUUUUGCCUUGUGGAAAAAGAAGUGCUUGAUUUGUCUUGAAAAAUUCGAAAGACUGUUUUGUGGAAAGUGAGUGAAACUCGCUCUGUGGGGAUGGAAGGACACCCAACUGCACCAGGUGUAGAAGCUAUAGAACACAUCUCUGCUCGUGGGUGGUUCAAAAUCUGAAACCUGGAUCUUAUUCCACUUCUGAAAACUGAGUGAAGUGUGCAUUCCCUACUUCCGUUGUGAAGGUAAAGUGGAAACAGUCUCAUUGUAUCAAUGUUCAGAGUGACAUAUUUCUCAGAUUUUGCAUUAAGGUGAUGAGGUUAAAAAUCUCUAUUUUUUUUUUUUUUUUUAAAGAGACGGAAGGAGGGAGGGAGAGAGAGGAGGAGGAGGAGGAGAGAGCGGGAGGAUCUCCAGUAGACUCUCCACCAAGCAGGCAACUCAAUCUCACAACCCUGGGAUCGUGAUCUGAGCUGUAAUCAAGAGUCUGACACUUAACCAACUGAGCCACCCAGGUGCCCCCGGGAUUUUCAGUGUCUAAUUAACAGCCUUGUUGGCUGUGGUUAUUUAUUUUAAUUCUGUCUGUAAAAAAUACUUGUAACAUUUGAAAGAGAAAGGGUGUCUGUUACGAGAUACUGAAAGACUUGGAAAGAUAGAUGCAAGUUUCUCAUACAUUUUAAAGAGCAUUUCAUAUGUCAUGCAAAUAAAUACAGCAAGUUUUAAGAAAUCAA